AACGAACGCUGGCGGCAUGCCUAACACAUGCAAGUCGAACGAGACCUUCGGGUCUAGUGGCGCACGGGUGCGUAACGCGUGGGAACCUGCCCUUAGGUUCGGAAUAACUCCCCGAAAGGGGUGCUAAUACCUGAUAAUGUCUUCGGACCAAAGAUUUAUCGCCUUUGGAUGGGCCCGCGUUGGAUUAGCUAGUUGGUAGGGUAAAAGCCUACCAAGGCGACGAUCCAUAGCUGGUCUGAGAGGAUGAUCAGCCACACUGGGACUGAGACACGACCCAGACUCCUACGGGAGGCAGCAGUGGGGAAUAUUGGACAAUGGGCGAAAGCCUGAUCCAGCAAUGCCGCGUGAGUGAUGAAGGCCUUAGGGUUGUAAAGCUCUUUUACCCGGGAUGAUAAUGACAGUACCGGGAGAAUAAGCUCCGGCUAACUCCGUG
rnacentral:rRNA from 1 species